GUCCCCGCCCAGCCGGCCGCCAUUACGCGGGCAGCCUCUUCCUGAUCCCUACACGGGAAAAGGAAAUACACUGUAGGUGUGGUGUGGGGGAGGAGAAUUGAUGGUCUCUGAUAAGCGAAAGGGGAAAGGAAGGAAUUGAUUCAUGUCAAACUAUCUCUCUCUGCCCCCCUGAGCUUCACGCCCUCCGCCCGACUUUACUCACCUCUGGGCGGGCUUGCAGGAGGAAAACGGGACUACCCGCUGAGGAGCCAGAGAGGAGGAACUAGACCCAGUGCGGGUCCCCGCUACCCUUACCACACGGGGCCCAGAGCGCCGCUACUCUUAAUUCUAUCCCAUUCGGACCUGAGCCGUGUCCUCUUGCCCAUGUUAGACAUCAUUUCCUUCUCCCCUCCAGCAUUCUGGUUCUUUCCCAAACACAAGAUUGGUUUUCACCCUGCCUGAGACUCAAUUUCCGCAUCUCUAUAAUGGUGGUGGCAUUGACACGUAAUAGCAUCGCGUGUAUGAGAAAAAAGCCCCGCGCAAACAAGGGGAGGCAGGAGGAGCAAGUGCUGGAAUGAGAAAAAGAACCCUGGAAAACGGCCCUCGCAAUAUGCAGGAAUUCUCCGUAAGGAAAAAGGACCUUGAUUUGUAAGUGAAUUCGCAAUGCUUUUCCAUAUCAGUUUGGGAAGGAGGAUACAGAAGUUGUGUCAUGCUGACAGGUAAGAUUGUCUCUGGAAUAGAGACCUUUAUGGAUGGAUGAAUAAAUGCAGAAAUAGGGGUGCCUGGAUGGCUCAGUCAUUUGAGCAUCUGACUCUUGAUUUCAGGUCAUGACCUCAUGGUUCAUGAUUGAGCUUAUUGUGCAGAGCCUGCCUGGGAUUCUCUCCCUCUCUCUCUGCCCCUCCCCUGCUCGUGCGCGCUCUCUCAAAGUAAAUAAAAUAUUUAGAAGCUUUUCAAAAAAUAAAUGCAGAAAUAAAUAAAUGGGUGGAAAACAGAAUGCCUACAUAAGCCAAUGGUUCUGUGCAUCAGAAUCACCUGCAGGGCUUAUUAAAACACAGAUUUGUGGCCUCACCCCAGAGUUUCUCAUUCAGUCAUUCUGGGAGGGGUCUGAGACUUUUCAUUUCUAACAAGUUCCAGGUCAUGCUGCUGGUCCUGGAAGCACACUCUGAAAACCACUGGCAUAAGCCAUCAGUGGAGACCCCCUUAGGGUAUGAUUUUUGUGAUUGAAAACUUUCAGCCUGAUCCUGCCAAGUAGCUUACAGGUACAGUCUAAAAUGAAUCCCCUGGCUUGGUGCUCAGGAGGUCUAUCGGUGGGUUUCACACUUUACCUCCCAGCAAACUCUCCUUGGUAGUGUUACAGAAUUAGAUUUGAGAGUUACAGGGGUGUGUAUGUGUGCACAUCUGUGCUGCUUCCCUGACAGGUACUACUGUCCGUUUCCACACCUCUGACUGCUGACCUUCUCCAGGGUCUCUCUCUUUUCACUGCUUCCUUUGGCCUUGGGAAUUUUCUUAUCCAGCAAGAAGCAACAGACACCUUUGAUCUCAGGUCUCAGCCAAUUCUUUCCUGGCAUUUGGUGACAUCUAGUGGCUAACUGAAGAAUCUUCGCUCACACUUAUAGAACCUUCUGGAAAAUUAACUGAGCAGUCUGGAAAGCAAAAAUAUGUACUCGUGAACCCCCUGAGAAAGGCUUCCUGAAGGAGCUCAGGAGGGCAAGGUAAUGACUGGCUCAGUAGCACGAGUCAAAAUGAAUUUCUUGCUUUCUUAGCAACUGUUACAGAAAUUAGAAGUAUCAAAGAAUUCCCCUCUCACUGUAUCCUCAGUGUGAAUGAUUUUGUAGAAAUGAUACUCAAUAAAAAGUGUUCUUGAAUAAAAUUGUCAGGUUAUACCAAUUUGGUAUUUGCUUCCCAUCUCAGAGCAUUUCUCCGGACCCUAAGCUAUAAGCAGAGCAAGGGUAACAAUCCAUUUCCAGGCUAGUCACAAGAUCCACAAAAAGAUUUGUAGUUCAGGUGCAGCUGAUAGUGACCCGAGGGCAUCCAGGCCUGAAUGUCAUUGAGAGGUGUAAUUGUUAACAGCUACUACAUAUACAGAAAUGUAAGAAAGCCUCUGGUGUCACGGGCCUUUGAAGUCCUCAUAGGAGGUGCAAGAUGUUAUAAACAAUCAUAUGCAAUCUGUAUUUUAACAUAAAGUUUAAAUUACUUCUCAUAGGAAUGUAAGGGGAGACAAUCAGGAAUCAUGAAGGAAGCUGCUUCUUAAAGCUAUUUUAGGGCCUUUAGUAAUCAGAGAGCUGUGAUGGGUCACAAAAUGUGGCCACGAGACCAGCAGCAUCAGGAAAUUCUUAAGCACCACCCCAAUAUUACCAAAUUUCGAAAACUGUAAGAGUGAGGCCCAGUAAUCAAUGUAUUAACAAGCCCUGCAGAGGAUUCUCUGGUACAUGCUAAAGUUUGAGAACCAAUGGUUAAGAACAAGUUUUAAAUGCCCCGAAAAACCUUAAAGGUGUUUAGAGAUGCUAUUAAAUUCAUGGUGGAGACUGUGUUAUUUAAUAACAUAUACUUAAUUCUUUUUUAAAACAUAUAAAUUGGCCUUAGAUCUUCUAUAUGAUUAAACAAAAGGAAUGGGAUUUAUUUGCUUUCACUUCUUGGAUUUUGGAGAAUGCUGUCUUGAUAGAUUCCAGACAGAGUAGCUCCAUAGUCCUGUGGACAUGGAGGUGAGACAUUUAAAAACAAACAGAAAAAUACUCCACCCCAAAAGUAAUUAAAUAGAAAUUAAAAUAGCAAUGAGAGGGACACCUGGUUAAGCAUCCGACUUCAACUCAGGUCUUGAUCUCAGCUCAGGUCAUGAUCUCAAUUCAUGAGUUGGAACCCUGCAUCAGGCUCUCAGCUGUCAGUGCAGACCCUGCUUCACCUCAGUCUCCCUCUCUGUCCCUCCCCUGCUUGCACUCUCUCGAAAAUAAAACUUAAAAAAAUAAAAUAGCAAUGGGAUAUCAUUUUUCAACUAACAAAUUAGCCAAGUAACAAUAUGUAUCAUUGAGAAGUCUAUGGGGUGAGGGGGACAUACAGUCCUGGUACAAACAGAAAGUACCAUAAUCUUUCCGAUAAUGCAAAUCAAAAGCCUUAAAAAUGUUUGUACCUUUGACUCAGCAAUUCCACUUUUAGGAAUAUAUCCUAGAAAUAAAUAAUUUGUGAUAUAUACAACAAUGUAUGUAUAAAAUGCUAAUGCAAGUUUAUAAAAAUUUAAAAAUUAAAAACAAUUUAAAUUUCAAGUGCAGAAGACUUGAAUAAAAGAAAAUUUUCAUAUGAUAAAGCAUUAAGAAAAUCAAGCUGGGAGCACCCUGCUGGCUCAGUCAGAGGCCAUGUGACUCUUGAUGUUGGGGCCAAGAGUUCGAGUCCCACUUUGGGUAUAGAGACUACUUAAAUAAAUUUUCUUUAAAAAAAAUCAAGCUGUACAAGAUUAUUUUUCCAGUUUUUAAAAGGAAGAUUUAUUUAACAAGUUUCACUUAGUACAAUACAUCUAAUGGAAAUCACAAUACAAGGAAAGAUUUAAAUCAAAGCCUCAGAAUCUCAUACAAACGACAUGACCAAACUCCUAAAGUAUUGGUAUUACAUCUCAAAAUUGUCCCAGAUCUUAAAAAAAAAAAAAGUAAAAGUGUACAGUCACGUGCCUUACAGCAUAUUAAACCAAAAAGCUAGAAUUAACAAACAUGCCAAAUGUUUUCACUUUGAAUCGUAGACACAGCUCCUAUAUUUGAGUUUUACAGAAAAGCAUGUUUCUCAACAUGCAUCCAAAGUUUUCAGUGUAUUGUGGUAUAAGAGCAACAUUUAACAUAAGUGAAACUGCUUUAACCUAAAUACGCUUACUGCUUAGGUACACUCCUACAACAUAACUAACUUGAGGAAAGCUGAAAGUUGUUUUAACAGUUAUGGUCAAUACUGAACGCUGUUAUUACAUCCUAAGUGAAUGCUUCAGUGUUCAAAAUUACUGAGCUUGAAGUUUUAAAACCUUGACUUCCACUUUACAGUAAGCAUGAAUCACAAGCCUGUAAUGCGAAACUGUUAAACUUAAUUUUUGUUUUCUUCAAAAAAAGGAAAGAAAGAAAGAAAGAAAGAAAGAAAGAAAGAAAGAAAAAGAA